GAUAUGGACUCUCCAGAAAAAUUACGCUGUUAUCCCUAAGGUAAGUUAAUCUUAUAAUCAAAAAUUCUGGAUCAAAAAAACAUAAAUUAAUGAAAAAAUUAUUAAAAGUUAAAUAAAUUUUAAUGUCACCCCAACAGAACUUUAUAUUCUAAAAAAUUAUUUAAUUAACAAAAAACAAAAUUUAAUAAAUAAAGUCAACUUCUAUAGGGUCUUCUCGUCCUAUAAAAAAAUCUUAGCUUUUUAACUAAGAAAUUAAAUUCAAUAUAAUUAAAAAAAGAAAGCUUAUUUUUCAUCAAACCAUUCAUUCUAGCCUUCAAUUAAAAGACAAAUGAUUAUGCUACCUUCGUACAGUUAAAAUACCGCAGCCUUUUAAUUCUUAAAAAUCAAUGGGCAGGCCUGAUCUUAAAUUAAAAUCAAAAGACC
rnacentral:rRNA from 1 species